rnacentral:rRNA from 1 species
ACGCACGCUGGCGGCGUGCUUCACCCAUGCAAGUCGAACGGAAAGGCCUGCUUUCCCUUGUGGAUUGCGGGUACUCGAGUGGCGAACGGGUGAGUAACACGUGAGUGAUCUGCCCCCAACUUGGGUAUAAGCCUGGGAAACUGGGUCUAAUUCCCGAUAGGACUGCAGGGUGGUGCCUGUGGUGGAAAACGAUUUUCUAGUGGUUGGGGAUGAGCUCGCGGCCUAUCAGCUUGUUGGUGGGGUAAUGGCCUACCAAGGCGGCGACGGGUAGCCGGCCUGAGAGGGUGGACGGCCACAUUGGGACUGAGAUACGGCCCAGACUCCUACGGGAGGCAGCAGUGGGGAAUAUUGCACAAUGGGCGGAAGCCUGAUGCAGCGACGCCGCGUGGGGGAUGACGGCCUUCGGGUUGUAAACUCCUUUCGACCGCGAGGAAGCCACCUGGUUGGAAGGGUGGUGACGGUAGUGGUAGAAGAAGCACCGGCUAACUACGUG